rnacentral:rRNA from 1 species
AUGCAGCUCUGGUCGCUCGAGGGUGCCGAGGAGGCCCUUGGCGACCGGUGCAGGGUGGAUCGGCUCGACUCCAGAACCUUCGAGCAAGAUCACACGAAGACCUUCGGAGUGUGGGUCUGGGUGUGGGACGUUUCCCACAUCCCGACCAAGCGCGCCCUCUGGUUCAUCAAGCGCGGCGCCGGCCGGACCGAAGAGAUGUACGGCUUCUCCCUGCCGAGCCGCGACGUGCCCCCCCCACCGUGGGUUCGGCGUCGGGACCUUCUCAUCCACGUCGACCGCGUCGAGGACUGGACGCUGCUGUCCCCGCGCUCCUCCUCCUCGCCUCAGAGCGGCUUCCCCUCCUCCGAGUCCGAGGUCGACACCAGUCCGUUCCCAGCAGUCUACACCGGCACCUGGCACAUCAAGGUCGAAGAUGGCCGAGCCACUGCUGACCAUGGCCGGUCUCAGCGUUCCAGGCCGGUCGUGGUGAGCACUGGCUGCCACGGCAUGCCCUUCGAAGGCCACAGGCGCAGCCACGACGGCGACGAUGGAGGAGGCCGGCGCUCCUGGAAGGACACCCUGCUGGGGCGCAGGCGCUCCUCCCGUGGCAGUGAGGCGACAGACCAACCCCAGCAUCAUCAGCGCAGCCACACACCCUCUAGCCGUCGCGAGCAUCAGCACCGUCGCAACUCCUCAAGGGCAAGCAAGUGA